GGAAAGAUGAAAAGAACUUUGAAAAGAGAGUUAAACAGUACGUGAAAUUGUUGAAAGGGAAACGAUUGAAGUCAGUCAUACCAACGGGAAAUCAACCUUUUGAGCUUUGUCUCGUGGGUUCGAAGAGUUUUAAACGCCUUCGGGUUCGCAAGAUUGGGAUCUUCUGGUGUACUUUCUCGUACGGUUAGUCAACAUCGGUUUUGAAUGUCAUAAAAUGACUGGAGGAAUGUAGCUUCGAACUCGUAUCGAAGUGUUAUAGCCUUUGGUAGAUGUGAUGUUUGAGACCGAGGAUUGCAACGGAUACCCUUCAUGGGCUAUUCGUCUGAUCUCUGAUACGUUGCCUUGACGUUGAAAGCUUGCUUACGAUGUUAGGGUAUUACGGUCAAAAGGUUAGAACGGAUUAAAUUCGUUAAGGAUGUUGACGUAAUGACUUUAAACGACCCGUCUUGAAACACGGACCA
rnacentral:rRNA from 2 species